UACAGAGGGUGCUAGCGUUGUUCGGAAUCAUUGGGCGUAAAGGGCGUGUAGGCGGUUUGUUAAGUCAUGUGUGAAAUCCCUCGGCUCAACCGGGGAACGACGCAUGAAACUGGCAAGCUAGAGUACCAAAGAGGGGGGUGGAAUUCCCGGUGUAGCGGUGAAAUGCGUAGAUAUCGGGAGGAAUACCUGUGGCGAAGGCGGCCCCCUGGUUGGAUACUGACGCUGAUACGCGAAAGCGUGGGGAGCAAACAGG
rnacentral:rRNA from 1 species